rnacentral:lncRNA from 1 species
GCCAGCCAACUAACCCAAAUUCUCUCUUUAACCAUUUUUAAACAUAUAUGAAUAGAAAGUGCAACUUAAUGGCAUUAAAAACUAUUAAUUACAACCCAACAAACAUGAGACCGGGGUGUCACAAGUCACGAGCUUCUAAAGAAAAUUGAAUACCACUACGGGGCCAAUAAUAUAUACAAAAUAAAAUCUAAAGUUCAAAGAUGAAGUCAAGUGCCGCAAACGCUGGUGGUCACCUUACUCAACUACAAUAGUAUUACCUUCAAUAUGCUAAUAAUCCGCUACCGUUCGAACAAUACCUGCAACUACACGUUAGGUGCAGGGAGCAAAGUGAGUACUCCAACUCAAUGAGUAACAUGAAUAAAUAAUAAUUAAGCGGCAAGAAAACACGUAAAAGCGCUCCAUCAUGCAAUAUGGGACAGCACAACCUUUUUAGAAAAGGUAAGUCUGAAAAAAUUCUUUAGAAAAUAUCUGGCUCAGUUUAAAACCUCUUUUAAAAAUAUCAUUUUUCCAACAGUCAAGUAAGUGAAUGCAUAAUCAGGUAGUGCAAGUCCGCACAUAUGACAGCCCUAUGUGUACAACACUCCAUUAACAAAUAACACCAGAGAUCUGGUAACAGUGCAAGAAAUAGCAUGGAUGCCAAUGAUAUGAGAGUGUUGAAUGUCAUGUCACAUAGUACAAGCAGGAAACAAUGCGUGAAUGCAAUGCAAUGCAUAUGACCACUGCGGCGUGCAGCCCAAUCCAUUUUGGUACCGCGCUCACCGUGGGGGUUCAAACUCCGGAGGGGAUCCUACAGCCCAAGCGCAAUAUAAAUAUCACACCACUGCGGUGUGCAGCCCGAUCCAUGUACAAUCCAUAAUUGCACAUAAGCCACAUGGAAAAUAUUAAAAUAACUGUUCUCAGCUCAAAACGUCAGUAAAAUAUCAUUUAAGUUUUCAAAUCUUAGAAAGGCGGCUGAGUUGCAAAAUAAUAUUUAAAACUUUGGACCGAGAUAAAAUAAUAUGGAGAGUAAUGUAAAAAUAUUGAUAUCAAUUCUUGAAGGAUUAAAAUAAUCGGCACGAAGCCCAAAAUAUGGCAAUCAACCCAAAUCAUGAUGAUGACAAGUAGUCUCAGUCAAUUUCGUGGUAAAAUCAAUAACCGUGAUGGACCAAGUCACAAUCCCCACGAUGCUCUGCCCCACGCCCCUAUCCGGCGUGAAAGUCACCUCGAUACAGCACAAUGAUGUACAAAUCCGGGGUUUCCAACCCUCAGGAUAUCAUUUACAAGUAUUACUCACCUCGAACCGGUGAAAUCUCAAGCUCGCGAUGUCGUUGCCCCUCAAACCGUCCUCCACGCACGUCGAAUCUAACAAAAAUCAGAGCGAAUACAUCACAAUAUGCAAAGGGAACAAUACCCAAUUAAAACCAAUCGAGAAAUAGCAAAAAUCUCAAAACUAGCAAAACCCGAACCCCAAGCCCCCUUCUUCUUGCCCCUCAAACCGGCCUCCACGCUCAACGAAUCUGACCAAAAUCAGAGCGAAUACAUUACAAUAUGCCAGGGAACAAUACCCAAUCUAAAACAACUGAGAAAUAGCAGAAAUCUCAACUCGUCUCUGUCUUGAGGCCAAUAACCAGUGACUCUUUUGUUAACCACAUGUAGAAUAUCUUGUGUAGUCGGGUAGGAUAACUAGAAUAUAUCUUUCCUUUAGUGUGUAACCGAUUUAUAUAUGUUAAGCUCCCCUUUUUUUCUCUCCUUUGCUUUUCUUUUGCCCCUCUUUAAAGUAAAGCUGCUUCUUAGAGUUGGCUUUUGCAAUUGCAAUCUGUCUCUGUCUGGCUCCUCGCUUUGAACUCAAAUAAGACCUUCUUUUGGUCGAGUGACUUCGUUCCUGGUCUUCCUAUUCCCUUCGCUUUCCCAGCCGCUGCCUCUAAGGCCCAAGUACUUUUUUCCCGAGCCCGCUUCUCGAAAAAUUACAAAAUUCACAUCACCGAAUUUAUCGUCUCGACACAAGUUUGUACAUAUGAAAUUUAUCAAAAAUCGUAGUUAAAAUGCUCCCUCAAAUUCCUAAUUUUCAUUUAAAACCCGCCUUAGUUCUUCAAAUUUUCACCCAAUUUUCCAAGAAUUAAAGGUUGAUUCAUCAAUAAAAUAGCGUCUCUAGGUCACGAGACUUACCUCCAAUCAAUUUCCGUCAAAAUCCUCUUCAAUUUCUACCAAAAAUCUCUCAAGGUGGUUCAAGAAUGGUGGAACAUGGCUUACCUUCGCGGAAUAAAAUGAUUUAAAAAGCCCUACUGCCCAGCAGUUAUUUUCUCUAUGCGAACACGGUCAACCCUCCGCAUUCGCAAUGAAGAAACUUACGUUGACCAGAAAUUUCUCUACGCGAACGCGGUACCUAAACCGCGAUCGCGAUACACCAGGAAGUUUUAACUACGCGAACGCGUCCUACUCCCCGAGAACGCGUUUCACAGACCACUCCUCUCACGCGAACGCAUACAAUCAAUCGCGAAUGCAUUGAACAACUUAGGCAGAGCCCCAGGCUCUUUCUACGCAAAUGUGAGGAAAACCACGCGAACGCGAUGAACUGGCAACCCAUCUCUUCGCGAACAGGAAUCUACUCCUGCGAACACGAUGACCAAUUUUGGUCUGCAACUGCUGUGCAUUUUCUGUAGCAAAUCCUAAGUCCAAACUUUCUGUUUAACCAUCUGAAAUCAUCCCGAGGCCCCCGAGACCUCAACCAAAUUCACCAAAAUAUCCUAAAACAUCAUACAAACUUAUUCCAAUCAUCAUAACACGUAAAACAUCACUAAAAACAUCAAUUCACAUCGGAUUCAAGCCUGAGUUUUUUCAAAACUUCCGAAAUGAACUUUCAAUCAAAAACCCAACCAAACAGUGUCCUUUGACUUGAAAAUUUGCACGCAUACCCAAAAUCACUUAACAAAGCUACUGUAUCUCUCGGAAUCCCAUUCUACCCCAUGAUCAAAAUCUCACUUUCCAACCGAAAUUCGCCAAAAUUCUAACUUCACCAUUUCAAGCCUAAUUCUUCACUGGACCUCCAAAAUCAUUUCCAACUACGCUCAUACCCUGAAACUAUCCGAAACACCGGAAAUCACAUCCGACUCCUAUAACUCAUAAGUCAACGUCUGGUUAACUGUUUCAACUUAAGCCUUCCUUAAAGAGACUAAGUGUCUCAUUUCUUAUCAUAACCAGUCCAGAUCACUUCUAAUACACCACAUACCGAUAACGAAACAUGAGGAAGCAUAAAAUGGGGGAAACGAAGAAGUAACACAUGAGACGAUGGGUCGGGUCUGUCACACCUCCUUUUUCACCACACCCGCAAGGACAUAAAGAAGUUUUUCCACUUAAAGGACAAUAGAAACGGGAUUUAUUAUUUAGAUUUCAGAGUCGCCACAUGGGAGAUUAAUGGUGUCCUAAUUAAUCUGUUGAAUCCCGAACCGAGGUAAAUAUGACUCUGUUAAUAGUACGCGAACCAGAAAUUUGAGUAAGGAAUUAUGUUAACCCGGGAAAAGGUGUUAGGAAUUUUCGGGUUCCGUGGUUCUAGCACGGUCGCUCAACUAUCGUGUUUAGCUUAUUUAUCUGAUUUUAUUACAUGAUGAACCUAUGUGCCAAUUUUUACAUUCAACCGCUUUCAUUUAAUAUUUUUAAGAGAAAGUUGAACAUCGUUUAGAAUGUGUCUUCGGAUCGCGCCACAUUAAAUGCACCCACAAUCCUGAACACAUUCUAUUCAAAGUUCUGGGAUUUGAUUUGGGUCACAUGAAAUGCACACCCGAGUCUAAGAAUGUAAUUUUAUUAAAGUCACGCCUAAAGUGACUAACGCGUUAUUAUCUUUUAGGAAGACCGUAAAGUUCACUAAAUGGCACAUCCCGAAGUCUAAGUAUUUUAAUUCAACUAUUUAUUAAGGGCCUCGCAAUCUUGCAUUUUUAUUUAGCGAGGAUCAUCUCAUUUCUAUUUAAAAGGGCAGACCUAAAAGUAACUAGGGUUGUCUAUUUUUGCUUGUCUCUAAUAAUAAAGAAAAAGUCCUAAUUAACUAAAUUGUUAAACAAUUACUUACACUUUAGGGUCCAUGAACAUAUAUAAAUUCAGACCUCUAACCCCGUUCGGGCCUUGAACAUAGCCCAUAUAAAGAAUCAUUAUCCAUAUGUGCAUAAAGAGCUGGCCAAUCAUAGGCCUGGGCCCAGGUCCAAAUGAACAUAUAAUCAGGGGCAAGACCUGGGCCAUUUGUGAUGGCACUGAGGCCCAAACUGUGCGAAAUGGACUGUUAAUCCUAACCUCAGUUCCAACUGAACAAAUGAUCACUGGUAUUGCUUCAGGUUAUUCAAAUGGGUCGUUUGGGAUUGUCUAAGUCAACUGGAAGCCCGGUUUUGACAAAACACGAAGCAACUGACUAGUCUUAGUUUUAUUCAAGUUAUCCUUACUAGAUUAAUAUUCAAAUAUCCGUGAUUUUUAAGGCUGAACUACUGAACCUCCUAUUGAAAACAAGUGUUAUAAUGCCGGACUUAAGCUAAUGCCCAUAUCCUAAUUAACAAUUCAAUUUCUGACCAUCACUACAAAUUAAAGUAAUAAAUCUCGACUUUAUAUCAUGCUUCGAGCUAUUCUAAUUUCAAAAUUAAACUAUACAGAUAAACCAUUCUACAUCAAGGUUAAUGACUAUCACCAAUCUGUAGGCUAAACAGUUCAACAUCUAUUUCCAGUUUAACGUGAAUUCAAGGUUAAGAUGAGCUAAAUCAAAUUUAAAAAGAAAACUACUAAUUACAGAAUUCACCAUCUAAACAGUUCCCAAUUAGUAUGGUUCAGAACAGUCCUAUUACAAAAUGACACAAAACUUCAAGUAACAAGCUGUUUUAUAUGUUAAAACCAGGCAGAAACAAAACAAAUUUGGGACUCGACUUUAGACAGCAGUUCAAACAGUACUCCAUCAUGUAUUCCUCAAAUCAAAACUACAUCAAGCCUUCAUAGUUCAUAGGAGAUCAAAGAGUACCUGAUAUUUGAACAAAAACUAAGAAGAAGUAGAGGUCGGCAACAGUGACAAAUGCAUCAACAGAUCGGCAGUCAAAUUCCAGAUAAACUGAUUAAUUUCCAACUCAAACAAUCACAGCCACCCAGUGAUGAACAGAAGAAGAAUAAAACUAGUGAAAACAACUAAAAUCCAACUUCAUACAACCCAAAACCACUCGAAAAUCACCCAGGGACUACUGAAGCUUCAGAACCCAAUUAUGGAACUAAAAAACUAGAAUUAAUAACUAAAAAAUGAAAUUAGCUUGAAUUCUCUAAUAAAACAGUUCUAUUUUUGUGUUUUUGAAGGGUUUUCUAUUGCUUUUUUUGUUGUUUUUUUAUUUUUGAAGAACUAAAUCUAGAGUUGGAAUUUGAAUAUCAUAUCUGCAACUCAGAUCUGCAGCAAAGAGUUUUUUUAGAGGGGGAGGGGGGAAUUUUGAUGGCCAAACUUCCUCCUUAAGGCACUACCCAUGCCCUUUUAUAGGCAAAAUAAGCUGCAAAUUUCAGACUUCAAUUACAAUACUUUGGUCCUUCUGUUAUUUUACUUUUUAAUCGAUUAACCCCUCAUUUCCUAACUUGUUAUUCAAGUUACUGCUUUUAAAAAGCUGAAACUUACACCAAGACCCCAUUCUAGAAGGCCCUAUGGUGUUCUUCUACCUAUAGAAUACAUAUACUACAUUUAUUUGGUUUUGAAAUUAAUAUUCUUAACAAAACAUCCCUUUUCCAUGCCUAAACUACCCCUGAAAACCCCCUGAAAUUACCGACCCUAAUUAAAAUUCUAACGUUAUAACCAAUCACCUAAACUAAGAUUAAUUAAUAGAGAUUGAACCUCAAACUAAUGAACACUGAAUUGAAGAACACUUGAAACUUGAUUAAACUAUCAAGACAUUAAUCUAAUCAAUUUUAACACAGGUUUGGAACAGAAUUAAACUGAAAAUCUAAAGGGACAAAAAUCAGAUUACAAAAGGAAAUUAGACUAAACCAAUCAGUUUGAACUAAUUAAAACUAUUACUUAACAAUUUAACUAAUUAGCCGAACAUUUAAACUAAGUAAAAUGAAAAUCGACUCAGUGUUAUCUAAGAUGGAAACUAACCUAAGGAUUGACCUACACAUUUAUCACUAACAAUAACAAAUAGAAAUAGAAACAUAUUGAUGCCAAGCUAAAUUGUUAAUCAGAACUACACGGCAAUUGAACUUCAUUUAAUUAAACAAGUAAUAACAUGCACCAAACUAAUAAGAAACGAAACUAAAAAAAUGAAAAAGAAGAAUAAAACUUACUGUCACAAUCUUCAUUUAUCCAAUUUCAUCAAAGUUGGGUUUUUAAUUAAUGUUAUAUGUUUAUAAAACAUAUAUCAUCAAUUAAAAAAUCACUUGACUCCUUGAAAUCCCAAAAUAGUUUUGACCCCCAAAACCCUAGAUCCGACAGUUGAGCCCUUCUACUCGGAUUUGAGGGAUUAUGGGAAGGUAUUAGUGAUGAGGGAAGGACGAUGAUCAUCUGGUAUCAAUUUGGUGGGAAAAAGGGGCGGGGCGGCCAUUGAGAUUCGAGGGCGGCAGCUAAGGUUCAUCAAUUUCGAGUCAAGAUUCGAAACCUUUGAGGUUGAUUCGAAGGAAAAGAAGUGUAGAUUUGGAAUGAGAAGAUAGAGACGGUGUUGGGGUGUAAUUUUGGUGGUCGUUGGUGUAACUAAUGGCCUCGCUGCCGGCUCGCUCUGAUCAAAGAAAAUGGGGGCGGCUGAUUAAUUAGGGUUCAGGUUAGAGACGACUGGGGAGGGGUCUGAGAGGGCGGGGGGAUUGGAUUUC